UACACCCUUUCAGUUAUUCGCUUUUACUAGUGUUAGAGUUGUGUCCCUUAGCCGGAUGUGACGUCAACGGGGGAUAGAAAUUCGCCAGAGAAAAUAAAAUUUUACAGUGUCGCUGAAGAAAUCAACGUCUUUAGCACAAUAUAUGCGUAAGUUGCACACAUGUUUUAUUUUUAUUAUUUUAUUGACGCAUAUUAAAGCUAUCGCUUGUUGUAUAUUUACUUUUAAGUACGAUGAAGUGAGAAAAAAUGCAUUAAACAUUCCGUUUUGUCAAGACACAUUUCAUGUUCGUACAUAUACCAUUACACCUGGAUUGGAACCUAAAAGUAAAUAUUGUAUAAAAAUGCCAAAUUUUGAAAGCAAAGCGAAUUACGAGUUAUUUUCAGAAAGUUUAUAUUUGUAAUCAUGAUUUUAUCAUAGGAAUUAUAUGAUUUCGGGGCUUUUUUUUAUUCUUAAAUAGAACUAGAAAGUAGAAGAAUGUGAAUGAAAACCAAUCAGGAGAACGGGUCAUUUAACUUUCAUGUUUUUUACACCAAAAUCUCUAUAUUUAUAAACUUUCAAAACCGAAACUAUCCUUUGUUUCUUUGAGUGUUUGACUGAAGUGUUGAAAUAAUAUAAAAAUCAGCUGCAAAAAAAGCAUUAUAUGUGGGUUUUUUUCAGGAAUCAUCCCAAAUGCUAUGUUCAGAAACAGUGAAGUACCAUGGCUGAACCAGAUCCUGUAACAGAAAAGAAACUACAACAGUACACGACUGUGAUUGUCAUAAGCUGUAUGCCAAGGAUGUCCCUGGCGCUGUUUUACCGCAACUUCAACCAGAAAGAUGCAAAGUUACAGAGUUGCGAAUAUGGUUGAAAUGCCGGGGAUAAGCUGUGAAAUCGAAUGAGACAAAAGCCGAACUUUGCUUGAGGGUAAAGAAAUUCAGUGACAACCAGGAUAACAUCCUAAUUGUGGAUCCUUAUCCAGACCAGCCAUUUGCAGCUAAGCAGAAGUCGUCCUGUAUGAACUGUAAAGGACAAUCAACAGUGUCAACAGCGGAAGAACAUCUUAAUUUGGAAGAAUGCACAUGGACCCAAAGCACCAGACCGAUCUUCAAAGACUUUUCUUACAUGAACAUUCUGGAAUGGACCAAAAGUUCUGGUAAAGGUUCAAAACUGGGUGUUGAAAAGCCUAUUCAACGAGGCUAUGUGUUUUUUCAUGACGGUUAUGUAUUCGACACAUGGACAUCUGAACGUAACAGUUCAACAAUUGUUAGAUGCAAGUGUUUCCGCUCCAUGAAAAACCUGUAAUCAGAAAUAAAGAGUAUUGAAAUAAUCUAAAUUAUAUUUGAAAGUAUUCAAUUUUGUGUUAUUUUAGUGUCAGUAUUUGUGAGAUUCACCUCAAAUCACAUUUAUUCAUUCAAUAUAAUCAUAGGAUCUCAGCUCAUUUUGGUGCAAUACCUGUAUCUGCAUGUUUGUAAUUUUCAGAUUGUGUUUCCUUAAAUUAGUUU